UUCGAUCUGGCUCAGGACGAACGCUGGCGGCGUGCCUAACACAUGCAAGUCGAGCGAGGAGAUCCUCGGGAUGAUCCUAGCGGCGGACGGGUGAGUAACACGUGGGCAACCUGCCUCAUAGAGAGGAAUAGCCUUCCGAAAGGGAGAUUAAUACCUCAUAACAUUGCAGUUUCGCAUGAAACAGCAAUUAAAGGAGCAAUCCGCUAUGAGAUGGGCCCGCGGCGCAUUAGCUAGUUGGUGAGGUAACGGCUCACCAAGGCGACGAUGCGUAGCCGACCUGAGAGGGUGAUCGGCCACAUUGGGACUGAGACACGGCCCAGACUCCUACGGGAGGCAGCAGUGGGGAAUAUUGCACAAUGGGGGAAACCCUGAUGCAAGCAACGCCGCGUGAGUGAUGACGGCCUUCGGGUUGUAAAGCUCUGUCUUCAGGGACGAUAAUGACGGUACCUGAGGAGGAAGCCACGGCUAACUACGUGCCAGCAGCCGC
rnacentral:rRNA from 1 species